GAUGAACGCUGGCGGCGUGCCUAAUACAUGCAAGUCGAGCGAACGGACGAGAAGCUUGCUUCUCUGAUGUUAGCGGCGGACGGGUGAGUAACACGUGGAUAACCUACCUAUAAGACUGGGAUAACUUCGGGAAACCGGAGCUAAUACCGGAUGAUAUUUUGAACCGCAUGGUUCAAAAGUGAAAGACGGUGUUGCUGGCACUUAUAGAUGGAUCCGAGCUGCAUUAGCUAGUUGGUAAGGUAAAGGCUUACCAAGGGUACGAGGCAUAGCCGACCGGAGAGGGGGGUAGCCGGCAUGGGAAGGGAGACACGUACCAGACGACUAAGGGAGGCACCAGAAGGGAAUCGUCCGCAAUGGGGGAAAGCCUUGCGGAGCAGCGCGGCGUGAGUUGUGAAGGUCUUCGGAUCGUGAAACUGUGUUAUGAGGGAAGAACAUAUGUGGAAUUAACUGUGGACAUCGUGACGGUACCGAAUCAGAAAGCCACGGCUAACUACGUG
rnacentral:rRNA from 1 species